AUUGAACGCUGGCGGCAGGCCUAACACAUGCAAGUCGAACGAGUGGCGGACGGGUGAGUAAUGUGUGGGAAACUGCCCGAUGGAGGGGGGUAAAUACUGGAAAAGGUAGCUAAUACCGCAUACCAUCGGAUGUGCCCAGUUGGGAUUAGCUUGUAGGUGAGGUAACGGCUCACCAAGGCGACGAUGCCUAGCUGGUCUGAGAGGAUGACCAGCCACACUGGAACUGAGACACGGUCCAGACUCCUACGGGAGGCAGCAGUGGGGAAUAUUGCACAAUGGGCGCAAGCCUGAUGCAGCAAUGCCGCGUGUAUGAUGAAGGCCUUCGGGUUGUAAAGUACUUUCAGCGGGGAGGCGGUACCCGAAGAAGAAGCACCGGCUAACUCCGUGCCAGCAGCCGCGGUAAUUC
rnacentral:rRNA from 1 species